rnacentral:lncRNA from 1 species
GGGUGUCCUAAACGCGUGGGACAACUUCGUUUAACAUUGCGAAAAUGAUAGAGUAUAGUUCAUGUACAAAAAGGCCUAAUAUGGCACUAUUUUGAUUAUAGGGCGCGGAAUCGGCUUUCGUAAAGUGCGGGGGCCUUAAUAUUCUACACCCACACGACCAAUAGAGGUGGGGGGUGCACGCCGGAAUCGUUGGAUUCCCUUCUAUGUCUGUUAUCUCUAUUCUUGAGCAUACAUGUUUAUUUAUAUACCCAUUCAUGCAUAGUAGGGUAGAUACAUGUGGAACUUGGUUUGACUUCAUUUAAAUGCUUCUAACGUAGUUGAACAUAGCGGAUGAUAGAACCAAAUUGGACAUGUGUGAUCGGACCCUCAAGUUGUGUGAAUGUGAGGUUGGACUUGGACAAUAGAAAACAAUGGUGACAUUGACAUAGAAACAAGAUUGGCAUUGAGAGAUGAACCGUUAAACCUAGUUUAACCAAUUAUGACAUCGUCAAAGGUAAAGCCUUGAGAGUGGCAAGAAUGAAUAGGUAGAGACCUAGCAUGACAUUGGCAUUGUGACUAGUGGCUAUGAAUCCUCAAGUUGAGGAUUUGAUCGAUACUCACAUUUCGUCUUGGCUUGAGGGAGGUCGCUCCCCCUCGAGCGGUGCGCUCCGGAGUUGGUCACCACUGGGCGUGGUAAAGUCCCACCAGUUGACGGUCCCUAGGGAGGUUCGAGUCCCCCGCUAUUAAGGGAUUUUGAAUGGUGAGUUAUUGGGGUUAACAAGGUUAACCGGUAAGAUUGGGUAAGAGCCGAUGCUUCUUUGAGAUUUGAGCAUGCAUGCAUUUUCUAUUAUUGCAUCGAGUAUAUAUAUCCACUGACAUUCUUUUGCAGGCAUGGUAUUAGAUGCAUUAGCAUUGGUUACUUCUCUUUUCCUUUGUAAUACUUAUGCCUGGAUGGACCUAGUGGGUAAGUCGGCGAGGUCGGUUGCCGAGCCCACUGGGAACUUUGUUUAGUUCUCACACCACUAACCCUACAGGUCCUAGCACGAGCGGGGCGGCGGAGGACCGAGGCAAGGGUUUGGCGCCGUAGGUAGCGGCCACCGGGACUUUAUACAUUUUGUAGUCAUUCCCUUUUGUUAUACAUGUAUCAACUUUAUUUUGUUGAUUUAGGAAUGAAAAGUGUAAACAAUCAUGUAUUUGGUGGAUGACUAAAUGUAAAAAGAUAUGAUGCAAGAAUGUAAUAGAUUUACUUGAAUUUGGUUUAAAUACUAAUCAAAUAUCAUGUAUGUUGCUUAAUUAGCUUAGAGCUUUCGCUUUCAUUGUUGCUUGCCCUCGUGCAAGCCUUGUAUUAUAUAUGCAAAUCUCUUGUUGAUUGCCUAUUUAUACAUGUUGUUAGAGCCUUGGGCGGACAGGGGAGGCUCUGUCCGUUCGGCGUCUGUUGACGUGACCCGAAC